GUCAGUUUGCCCGAGUGGUUAAGGGGGUGGACUUAAGAUCCACUGCAGGUAACUGCGCGUGGGUUCGAACCCCACAGCUGACA
rnacentral:tRNA from 1 species